ACCGGCCGUGCGCACGCAAGUCCACGUUCUCAGGAACAUAAAUGUGACCCAAAGGAGACCCCAGUGAAGGUCCAGACCUGAUCUGCACUCAGGACACUGCCCCCGCCACCCUCACGCCUGGACGGUGGGGACGGUGGGGGCAGCCCCGGGUGUCCCUGGCCUGGUAGGAGGCAUCGGGAAGGGCAGAAGCAGGAGCCAAGGUCUUUCUCGGCAUAACAGGGUCUGCACAUCAGAAAUCCAAAGUCCCUCCCGGGAACCAGAGCAGGUGAGGAAGUCGAGGCCCAGCAGGGUGGGCAGCUUGCCCCCAGGCCGCAGGGCAGAGGAUGGAGCCCCCCACGCCAGGUUGCCCCAGCAGGAAACGCCCCCCGGAGGAAGUGCGCAGCUUGGGAGAUCAAAGCCAGAGCCACCCACAGGCUCCUGCUGACGCGGAACCAGGAGGCGGGACACGGUGGGCAGCGGGAUCUGGCCGCGCGCUGCUGCGAAAUGCCAGCCCGGCUCGGGCAGCAGGGGUGUGCCGAGCCCAGGGCCCCGUCCGGGCCUGCCGCACCCCCGUCCCUGCAAGGACCCGAGGCGGCCGCCCAACACGCGGGGGGCUGGGCCAGGCUGCAGGCACUGGGGGCCACUGGCCUGGGGAGCUGGCGGACACACCACCACGCGCACCACGGUCACGCCAGACCCCGCCUGGGGGGGGAGGGAAGCCAGGCGGGACGCGCUGCCCCGUGGACACGAGGCAGAGGCCUGACCCCAGAGCGGGGCGAGGCCGGUACCCGAAAACACUGCAACCGUCAACAUAUAUUCAAGAUCUGAAAGAAGAAAGUCCACGUGCCAAGUAUUACUUUUGGUGUUUCGAGGAAACCGGGUUCAAUUUCAAAUGCUCUCCAAACUGGUGACAUGAAUUCAGGCCAAUGAGUUCACAGCAAGACGCGUGUGCACGUGAGGCUCUGGUCCCUCCUCCCAGCGGCCUGGGCCUCGGUGGCACCCGGGCCCUCAGGGCUGCGGUUCUGAAAGCAGGGACUCCUGGAGACGCAGGGACUGAGUAAUACAGCGAAGUUCUUAGAAACCGAGAGUUUCAGAAUAAGACGGCGGUGACAGCAGCCGGGGCUCGCGGCCCCCAGGACGCCGCGCUCAAAAUGGAAACGGCGGUCCGCGCUGUCAAAGUUCCCUCCGUGCCCGCUCCGCAGUCUGCUGUCCCCGCCGGUCCCACGAAUAACCCGGAGCGCACACGUCUGACCCGGCCCGGCGGCUGGUUUGGAACCGCCAUCCCCUCUGGAAGGAACCGGAGAAGCAGCAGACCCCGCGGGAGGCCGGAGGGAGGGGUGCCUGGCGACCCGGGACCGGCCGGG